rnacentral:rRNA from 1 species
GUGGGGAAUAUUGCACAAUGGAGGAAACUCUGAUGCAGCGACGCCGCGUGAGUGAAGAAGUAAUUCGUUAUGUAAAGCUCUAUCAGCAGGGAAGAUAGUGACGGUACCUGACUAAGAAGCUCCGGCUAAAUACGUGCCAGCAGCCGCGGUAAUACGUAUGGAGCAAGCGUUAUCCGGAUUUACUGGGUGUAAAGGGAGUGUAGGUGGCCAUGCAAGUCAGAAGUGAAAAUCCGGGGCUCAACCCCGGAACUGCUUUUGAAACUGUGAGGCUAGAGUGCAGGAGGGGUGAGUGGAAUUCCUAGUGUAGCGGUGAAAUGCGUAGAUAUUAGGAGGAACACCAGUGGCGAAGGCGGCUCACUGGACUGUAACUGACACUGAGGCUCGAAAGCGUGGGGAGCAAACAGGAUUAGAAACCCGUGUAGUCC